rnacentral:lncRNA from 1 species
CUCGAGCUAGCUAAACGCCUCGCCGGAACCUUCAUCGGAUCUAGAGUCACCUUCGCAGCCCCAGUCGCCGCCUACAACCGUCGUAUGCUCUCCAAAGAAACCGUCCUCGAAAACCUUACCUUCGCCACUUACUCCGAUGGCCAUGACGACGGCUUCAGACCCUCUACAUCCUCCGAUAAAUCUCGCCAACAUAGCUCCCGACAGUACCUGUCCGAAAUGAGACAGCGUGGGAGAGAAACCCUAACCGAACUAAUCGAAGAUAACCGGCGUCAAAACCGGCCUUUUACCUGCGUGGUUUACACCAUCCUCCUCACUUGGGUCGCUGAGCUGGCGCGUGAGUUUCAGAUCCCUUCUGCUCUUCUCUGGGUCCAGCCCGUUACGGUCUUCUCCAUCUUCUACCACUACUUCAACGGCUACGCCGAUACAAUCUCAGAGAUGGCUGAUAACAACCCUUCUGGUACUAUUAAGCUUCCCUCUCUGCCACUGCUCCGUCUCCGUGAUCUUCCCUCCUUCAUCGUCCCUACAAACGCAUAUGCGUUUGUUCUACCGGCGUUUCGAGAACAGAUAGAGUCGCUGAAGCAAGAGGAAAACCCUAAGAUCCUUGUUAACAGCUUCCAAGAGCUUGAACAAGAAGCUCUAACCUCGGUUCUUGAUAACUUCAAGAUUGUCCCUAUCGGUCCGUUGAUAACCUCGAAGACCAACUCCGAGACUAACGCUGAGUACGUCGAGUGGUUGGAUACAAAAGCAGAUUCUUCCGUGCUUUAUAUCUCGUUUGGGACGCUUGCCGUGUUGAGCAAGAAACAGCUUGUGGAGCUCUGCAAGGCGUUGAUAGAGAGUCGGAGGCCGUUUCUGUGGGUGAUUACGGAUAAGUCGUACAGAAGAAGUAAAGAAGAUGUGGAAGAGAAAGAAGAAGAGAGCGUCGUAUGCUCUCCAAAGAAACCGUCCUCGAAAACCUUACCUUCGCCACUUACUCCGAUGGCCAUGACGACGGCUUCAGACCCUCUACAUCCUCCGAUAAAUCUCGCCAACAUAGCUCCCGACAGUACCUGUCCGAAAUGAGACAGCGUGGGAGAGAAACCCUAACCGAACUAAUCGAAGAUAACCGGCGUCAAAACCGGCCUUUUACCUGCGUGGUUUACACCAUCCUCCUCACUUGGGUCGCUGAGCUGGCGCGUGAGUUUCAGAUCCCUUCUGCUCUUCUCUGGGUCCAGCCCGUUACGGUCUUCUCCAUCUUCUACCACUACUUCAACGGCUACGCCGAUACAAUCUCAGAGAUGGCUGAUAACAACCCUUCUGGUACUAUUAAGCUUCCCUCUCUGCCACUGCUCCGUCUCCGUGAUCUUCCCUCCUUCAUCGUCCCUACAAACGCAUAUGCGUUUGUUCUACCGGCGUUUCGAGAACAGAUAGAGUCGCUGAAGCAAGAGGAAAACCCUAAGAUCCUUGUUAACAGCUUCCAAGAGCUUGAACAAGAAGCUCUAACCUCGGUUCUUGAUAACUUCAAGAUUGUCCCUAUCGGUCCGUUGAUAACCUCGAAGACCAACUCCGAGACUAACGCUGAGUACGUCGAGUGGUUGGAUACAAAAGCAGAUUCUUCCGUGCUUUAUAUCUCGUUUGGGACGCUUGCCGUGUUGAGCAAGAAACAGCUUGUGGAGCUCUGCAAGGCG